GUGCAGAAUAUUUUUUUUAGUGAGGGUGCAAUAAUGUAUACAGUAUGGGGUGUAUUAGCAAAUGAAGUUAUUUUAUAUAUAAACAAAAACCUCAAGCCAGGUAUUUGCUUCAUGUUUCAGUUGAGUUGCUGGCAGAUUAUACGCCAUACACUGUGAUUGUGAGGCAGCUUGGACCUAAUGUGACUGGUGUCAAUAAUAAGGGUCUUUGUUUGGCAAUACAGCCUUUUAAAACACUCUGAUAUCCUUGAAAUUCUUCUUGGUGAAUAUCAUCACAGGAUAGAGUUUGACCCCCCUCCAGACACUGCUUCAUCUAAGAGUACUUGCCACACAACUGAUAUAGAAAUGCCCAGAAGGAAGACAGUAGCAGCAGUAAAUCCAGUGAAAACAAAUUUCUGAAGAUAAUGAUAAUAAGCAAAGCAAUCAAAAGAGACUGAAAGCUACAGAUAAUCCAGAUAAAGGUGAAGGAGGCUGGGAGACGUAUGCAGAUGGUGAUUUGCUUGUUUUUAAGAAGAAUAUGGCUGGAAGAUCUAAGAUUGCUGGCUAUGAUAUGGAUGGAACAUUAAUAGUCACAAAAUCAGGAAACGUUUUUGCUAAAGACUAUAAUGAUUGGAAGAUCAUUUACAGUGAAGUUCCUGGCAAACUAAAAAAGUUGCAUCAAGAUGGAUACAAAAUAAUUAUCUUCACUAAUCAAGCAGGCAUUGCUGCUGGAAAACAUUCAGUUGCAGGAGUACAGAGGAAGAUUAGCAGCAUCAUUGAGAGGUUGUACCAAUCCAGGCAUUUGUAUCAACAGGGAAAGGAGAGUACAGGAAACCUGCCUUAGGCAUGUGGAAUUUCUUAAAGAAUGAGGCAAAUGGUGGAGUGGAUAUAGAUAUGGAUGAAAGUCUGUAUGUGGGGAUGCUGCUGAUCGGCCUGCAGAAGGGUCUCG